GCGUUUUCCAACCUUCCCUAACUCUCCUCCAACGUCUUACCGACCCUCUUCUUUCACUUCUUCGAAAAUGAGAUUCGAGUUUGUGCGGUGCACCGUAAAAAAAUAAAAUAAAGACGACGCAAAAAGCCUCUACUUUUUGUUUUCUGAAGAAGUUCAUCUCUUCCAGUAAAGCAUUGUUCCCGAGACAAUUACGAAAAGAUGUUUCGCAACAAGAGAAUCAAAAUAAAGCAAUGAAGAUGCGAAGAUCUUUGGAUAUUCCUGUACACCAUGACGAGAAGUUGCGGUCUCAAUUCCGGUUAUUGAUGAUCUAUGAUUUUCUUCAUUACAGAGUCCAUCUGCAUCAUUGUGAGGCGUUCUAGUGACGCUAGUCACUUAAUGACGAGCUGGAGAUCUUCUAAAGCCAUGACUUAGAAAUAACUGUUGAAAGAUAAAGUUUCACGUACACAAUCCGUCCGAACAAAUUCAGCGUGCUGUCAAACACUUCCGUUAAGCUGAAGGAUGUCAAUCAGCUGAAAUGUUUCGUCGGAUGAUGGAAGUGUGCGUCUCAAAAACAAUGGUGGAUUGGGCAAGAAUAUUUAGUGAAAGAACGGGAACGAAUAAUGCGUAACUAUCCCAUGUUGAUGAAGCCCAUGUUGCUGCCACAGAAGACCAUCGUGAAAAAGCGGAAUGAGGCUAUUCGUGCGAAUAGAUGCUUCAGCAUUCGAUCUAUAGUGGAUCAAUUCAACGCGAGUUACAGGACUGUAAAGGUAAGAUCUAGGGUAUUCCAAAGUGUGAGCACAUUUGAGUUUCCAGAAUGACGACGGAGGGAUUAAAGUUGGAGCUUCAGAAGUCUCGUUCUAUGCAGGUAAAGACAACCUCCAAAAUUUUACACGGACGACAUUCGUUUAUUGGGCGCACAACAGGACAAAGGUCUGAAUGUCUACACCACUUCUUCUAAAGAACAAAUACUGUGACAUACUCACCACGGAUGCCUGUACAUAAUGAUAUGUGUUUCCCAGUAAAUCCAUUACUACCACCAUCACCUACCAGUACAGUGUAUAAAAUGCAUUAAAUACAGUUAUUUUCUGCAAACGGCUUUCAGUUGAUUAACACAUGCACAACAAAAUCCCGACAAUCCGAUAUUCAGUUAGCCAAAAAGCUCACCUGCCCUAAACAAAUAAACAAAAUAGCAUGCAGUUGGGGAUGUUUACAAAAUUACUGAUUAAUGACAUCAAGAAAAGUGCGUUAAUGGGCACGAUACGUAACUUUAUAUGAAAAAGGAUAAACAACGGCGAUAAAAAUCGAAAAACUAUAGUAAGCGAUUUAAGAUUUUUACAUACUAUACUUGUGUCUCUUGAUUAUCUAACUAAAUAAAGAGUGAUCACUACUUUCAAACUUCUGCCUAAAUCCCUGACUAAAGUUUGGCAGCAUCUCAGCCAACUUUCAUGGAAGACGGGAUUUUCAUAAUCAGAUAUUUUACUUUCGUAUGUUCAAGCCUUACGAUGAUGCAUCACCUUUUAUGUCUGAAACGCCCCUUAUUUUCCGCAGUGUUGUAUUAUAUUCAAGUGGCUAAUAAAUAAGUUUAAUGUUUUUAUAAUUUUAGAUCAGAAAUUUCUUUUCCCGUUCAUUUAACACUUUACCGUUACUUGCACCCUGCAUACGCUCAACUAUCCAGAAUUUUCAUUUAUCUCUCCUUUGUUUUUUCCCGAGUUUUUACUUUACUAUUAUUUUUCAAUGUAAAUAUUUCAUAUAUAUAUAUAGAGCAACCCAACAUUUACUUUUAUCAUAUUUAUUUACUGUUAUCUUAGUUUCCAUUUUUGAAAAGUUAAACAUGAAUUGAAAAGCUUGAAUUAAAAAUAAUAAUAAUUUUACAUUCAUCACUCUAUAAUAACUGCAGUAAGAAGGAACAAUUACAGUAAAUCCUUGUCUUCAGUCUUUUAAUAUAAUAUAAAAUACCGCUAAAAUAUAUUUUAUAUUUUUUAAAUAUAAAUAGGCACUGAAAUAUAAUUAAUAUGAAUCGCAUUAACCAAAUUCUAACCAAAAAGAAAACAAAAAUUACUGAAUAAAAUAAUAAUAAUAAAAAAACAGUAUUUCUUUGUUAAAAUGACCAUCAUAUAAGACCUUGGUGGCAUCUGAUGUGUUCACUGCGGUGGCAGCUUCAACAAAGAAGUAUCAAAGUAUAUUUGAUGAUGCUUACUUCUUCAUUUUUCAAGAAAUUUCAAAUAAACUGGAACAACUGCAUAAUGGUGACAUAGUUAUAAUUCAAUAGAAUCAUCAUUAAUGGAUGAAAAAAAUUUAACCGCGAUUCUAAAAACAUGAUUUCAGAUCAGUUUUAAAACCCAUUCAACAAAUUAAAUCUUUAAUUGUUAUAUAAAUUAGCAUUUCACAUUACACCCUUUGUUACUCUCCUCUCAUUAAUAUACAAAUUACCUUCAAAAAAUUCACAGAAUUUGUACAUUUUUGAAAACUAUGAAAAUUAAAAUAAUUUAUUCUACCUGUCCUUUUAUCACCAAUUAUAUAACUGUUGAAAGCAAUGUUAAAACACUACACUUUCAUAGUAUUUUUUUUUUUUUUUUUAAUGGAUGAUGUAUAACAAUGCAGAUGACGCAGUCUCUGAACUGCUUUCCUUUUAAAUUUUCAAGACAAAAAACUUAAUCAAUCAUUAAAAUUAAAAUAAUUCAUGGAUAAAUUUCGGUCUGGGAUACAUUACUGCCAACUUUUGAUGACAUUUAUUCGACGAUUAUUCCCCAUGAUUAGAAAUGAUGGGGCUACAUGAUGAAGCUUUUAUUUUAUAGUAGCUACAUGCAGGGCCAAUUAAGUGAUCUUGGUCGUCGAUUUUCAGAAAGCACCAGCAUAUUCUCAGAAAAAAACUUACUAAGAUAUAUUUCGAACAACAUGUUUAAUUUAUACGGAGUGCUGAAAAUACUGAAAUUCGAAACUAGCCACAAAAUACAAUUUUUACUUGAUCACUUUUCUUGAUCAGUUUCCAGUAAUCGGGAAUACAAAUAUACCCCUCAAACUAAAAAUUAAUGCAAAGAGUAUAAUUUGUCACACUGCACCCUGAUAUACUGCCUGCCGACUAUUAACACCAUACUGAUUUCAGACAACAUUACAUGCGCAUCAUAUGGUAGGGAAAAAAACUACUUUUUGAAGCCAUCUUGUUUAAACUUUCACGGCUUUUUUUAUCACAAUAAAGAUUUCACAUUUUUUAACAGUUUUUUCCUUGGUAUAAUACUUUUACAGCAGACAAUUCUUCAUGAAAAAUAAGAUAUAUUGGACUCUUUUGUAGUAUACCUGAAGACUUCUUACAAUUAUUGUUGCUUAUAAAAAAUACUACCAUUAAAAUUUUUGAAAAUUUAUUUUAAUUACGAUUUAAAGUACAUAAGGAUCAAAAAGACCAACAAGAAUUUACUGCAAAUAUAAAAAUGAUAUAUCAAAUUUAAUAAAUACAAAUUAUUAUAUAACAGCCACUGGGAAGGCACUGAGGUAAUAGAAAAUACAGAGGAAAAACAAAGGCACCCAUAUGGUUUAAACAAUAGCACUGUUUUUGACUAAAUUUCUGCAAUGGUCCCGUUAACUAAAUUUGGUAAACAUAAUUCUUAUGCAAAAAUAUAAUAUUUUGUGAACAUUUGAAAAAAAUAUUACACUAAAUAUUAUAAUAGAUAAUUACUCAAAGAGCUAUCAAAAAUUAAAACAAGAUUUUAAUAUUCUCACACCAAAUCACAUUUCAAGAGAAUACAAAAUUCUACAUCAAAUUUGGCAAACCAGACCACUGCAACAGUUUAAAACAUACUUAUUUGUAUGCUCCAAGCUAAGUGCAUAAGUUGAAUGCAAUCUUUAUCUUUCUUAUGCAGUAUUGCAAGAAUUUUAACACUGUUGUAGAAAACAAGACCCCCCCCCCAGCAAAGUCUACAUAUAGUCUAUGUACAAUAAAUAUUUUUAAUUGUAAAUAAUUAGCAAUAUGACAGAAAUUGCAUACAUUGGAAAAUGCACAAUAAAAUGAAAUAUUAUCAUUCAAAAAUUAAAUUUUAAACUAAAGAAUUUUUAAAAAGAAUUUUAAAAAUUUAUGAAUUUGGCAAAUCAGUUUUAUUCAUUUUCUUAUUAUGAUAAAUACUAACCAUAAGAUGAAAUUUAUUUAAAUGUAGUAACUUUAAAACAUAGCAAACAUUUUCUAGCAGGUUUUCUUCAACAAUAGUAGUCCAAAACUGAAUAGCACAUUUUAGAUUAAAUGUUGUAAUAAUUUUACAUAUUUUAUUAAAAUAUUCCCCAAAAUACUGUUUAUAAGUAAUUUUAAAUCUCAUUAUGAUUUUGUAUAUUUUACUAAAAUAUCCCCUAAAAACUUGCCUUAAAUAUCUUAUAAUUAGGACUGCCUAACCUUAUCAUGAGCAUGCAUACUUUUUGUCCUCCCUAAAGAGAUGUCAUAAUCUACCAAUGUGCUGGGAAAAUAUAAUGAUGAUCUACUAAUGUAAUAGAUUGAUAGCGCAUGAUUGACUCAAAAGCACACCACGAACUAGUGCUAAUGGUCAACGGCUGGCCAGACUCAUUACAGAUGAAUUUCAAUAUCUACAUUCCUUUACAAAUGUGCAUAAUAUAAAUUACAACAAUACAUAUACAAAUUAUAAUAGGAACAACACAAAUUUUGCAUGAAACCUGUUUCUGCUUUCAAUGUAGUCUACAUUGCUGUCUCACUGCCUAUCUUUUGAAUGAUGAGUACUACAAAUGACCUGCUUUAAUGGUAUAUACAUGUUUCAUGAUUGAAUGAGACUUUUGAAUAAUAAAUAUUAAUGGAGUUUUCUUCCCCCAAACAUGAAAUUUUAUUAUACUUUAAAAACGGAAACUAAUUUGAAUACUAUUUACAUUAUUUCACAAAUGUUCUUUGGUUAAUUAAAAUAGAUUUGCUCAUUUAAAUGGUGAUAAUGAACAUAUCUUUGAAAUUGAAUGAUAUGUUUAAAAAUGCAUUAGCUUUAACUAAUAUUAAAUGUUCUUCUAGUAACAAACACUCUGAAUUUUAAAUUUCAAUUUUCUUAGUUAAUACUAAUAAUUAUUACACACAAUGUACUCAUUUUCUCAUAUCUGCAUGGCAGAAAUCCAAAACAGAAAAAGUGUAAAACUGAGUUUUAUACAUUCAUAUUUUACAGAAAAAUGAAGAAUUAUUUUACUUCCGAACUUCUUUUUAAUAGUUUUAAAUUUAUUUUUACUAAAAUACUUCUCAACUAAAUUUGUUUAAAUUAAUAUCUGUAAAUUUCAUUCAUAUAAACUUAAAUACUUCACUAAUAAAAAAGAAGCCAUAAAACCAAGCAAAUUUUGAAACUUAACUGAAUUAUAUUCUGUCCUACAAAGUAGUUUCCUUAUGUAUUCAUGCAUAGAAUUUUGACUUAAUGCAUGCAUCUUCAAUAUGCCUAUAACCCUCUGUAAUAUGGCCUAAACAUCCUAUAAAGGAUUAAAACAACAAUCCUUCCUUCACCACUAUCAAUUAAAAAAAUUAUAAAGUUCCAAAUUUGACAAAAAAAUUAGAGAUGAAGGAUUAUUAAAAGUUUCAUUUCUAUUAAAAACAUAUUUGGAGUAUGUUCUGCAAGUUCAAAGCCUUAUAAGGUAUGAGAAACAAUCAGUUCUCAUUUCUCCACUGUUAGAUCAUUUGGGCUGAAAUAUUUUCUCAGCAAUCUCAAAUAUUACAACAAAUGUUGCACUGAUUGCCUGAUCAGGGAUAUUAAUAUUCAUUGCAUAAUCUACUUCAUAUUAGAAUAUACAUAUUAUUUUCAUUGCAAUUCUUAGUGACUUAAAUCACAAUGCCUGCUGCUUUGACUAACAAAAUUACGAAUCAGACUACCAUGUCCUAAGAUCCUAAACAAACUGAUAACACUUGCAUUUGUCGUAAAAACAACCUUGUAUUUAGCGUUUUUACGAUUUUGAUUGUCACAUUAGCGUGUUUCUCUUCUAGUCUACUGACAUUUGUAUUUCAAUAAACAAGCUUUCAACCUGCCUUCCAGUCAUGAUGCAAGUAUUAAACUGUUUGAUUGGUUAAUUGAUUAUGGCAAAGCUCACCAAAGUUUUCUUCUUUGGAAGGCAUUUCUUUAUGGAGAAUUUUCUGAUGAAGAAUUUCAAUUGGUUCGCAUUACACAUAGAAACUCGCUCAUUUCACUGAUAAAUUAACAGCAUUCAAUGACCCUAUCCAUUUUACUAAUAGUAGGCAACCGAUUGCAGGCAUGCUAUCUACAAAUGCGGAUAUUAGCAGAUUUAAAAAAAAAAAAAAAAAAAAAAAAAAAAAAAAAAAGAUUCACUUGAAUAAACAUUCAAAAUUUAGUUGAACUUGUCAGAUUUCUGUUUGAUCAACUUAAUAUAGACCUCAAUGAAAUCUAAAAUUUUAGAUUAACAUACAUAAAAUAUCAGGAAGAAAAACAGAUAUUAAUAUUAAUGAAUA